UGCACUGGUGCUUGCAAAAUAGAAUAACCUCCAUGUAUAAUAAUUUAUUACUGUAGGUAGUUCGAAUGGCAGUACAAGGCACAACUUUAGUAAAGUUAGAUAGAGUAGAAAUGAAAGUGAUAUAUUGAUUCAAUGGAACAAUCUAUUACAUUACAAUGCAAGUAUCAUCAUUUAGGAGUACAUCACUUCCUUAUAAAAAAAUAUAAAAUACAAAAUUUCUAAACAUUCAGAGAGCUGUCUUGUUUCUCUUCCAAGUAUCAUUAAUCAUCAUACAUUCUCCAAGAUCCAUGUAAUCAUCCAGUAUUGAAAUUCUCGACCUACAAAAAAUUAUAAUACUAUUUAGGCAUAAUUUCGAAAUGAAGUUUAAAAACAUACAUAGUAUACACAAUACCUAAAAGGAUCCACAUAAAAUUACCAGAUGUGCAGGAAAAGAUUGUUGGGGAGGGGGCAUAAGCUUAUGUAUGUCUAACAAAUAAAUUAGUAGGAGUACAUGUUAAAACACUGAUUAUCUUUGACCAAUCGGAUGUGCCUGUUCACUGUGAAUAACCAUCAACAUGUAUUCGCUACUAACAAUUGUCCAAAGAUUAUAUUAUAUCAACAAUGAGAUGAAUUCAGUAACAAACUAAGUGAUGAGUAGGUAAGCAAUAAUAUUGACUAUACAAAUGGGAUUCUGUUUUCCAAAGGUCUUGGCAUUAAAUGGUUUUGUGUCACCAGUACUCAUGUACUGCCCAUGCUUGGUAUGAUGUAUUAGGAGCAAAAAACCCAGUGGCAAGAGCUAAAAAAUCAUUAACUAAUCUACAUCACACAAAAGUAGUGGCGUUCUGUUUCUAGAAAAGGUAGGAUCCAAGAUGUUUACAGGGAAAUAAAAAUCAUUGAAUGUGGCUCUAUUUAAUUCUUCAAGACCAACCUAGCAUGAAAGAUGAAUACAUAUUUAUGGAAAUGCGUCAGGGGUGACCUAUGUAAUGGCUAAACAAUCUGAAACAAAGCAAACCUAAGUAAUGGAUGAACAAUUGUAUAUCAGUACUUAUCCAAUUUUAAGAAACACUACCCAUUUGCCUUUGCUGAUGAUGUGGCAUAUCAUAUAACCAAGAGAAUUUGAUCUUUGUCACAACUCAGCUCCAUCAUGUACCAUUUUCCAUGUCAUCAUAUAACUGAAUAUGAAUACCUAUAUGAAUCUAAAAAAUAUG
rnacentral:lncRNA from 1 species